rnacentral:rRNA from 1 species
AGUCUACGGGACGCAGCAGUGAGGAAUAUUGGUCAACGGGCUUACGCCUGAACCAGCCAAGUCGCGUGAGGGAAGACUGCCCUAUGGGUUGUAAACCUCUUUUGUCAGGGAGCAACGCCGGCUACGUGUAGCCGGACUGAGAGUACCUGAAGAAAAAGUAUCGGCUAACUCCGUGCCAGCAGCCGCGGUGAUACGGAAGGUCCGGGCGUUAUCCGGAUUUAUCGGGUUUAAAGGGAGCGUAGGCCGGCUUUUAAGUCAGCUGUGAAAGUCCGCGGCUCAACCGUGGAAUUGCAGUUGAAACUGGG